AGAGUUUGAUCAUGGCUCAGAACGGACGCUGGCGGCAUGCCUAACACAUGCAAGUCGAACGAAGGCUUCGGCCUUAGUGGCGCACGGGUGCGUAACGCGUGGGAAUCUGCCCUCUGGUACGGAAUAACUCAGGGAAACUUGAGCUAAUACCGUAUAAUGACUCCGGUCCAAAGAUUUAUCGCCUGAGGAUGAGCCCGCGUAGGAUUAGCUUGUUGGUGAGGUAAAGGCUCACCAAGGCGACGAUCCUUAGCUGGUCUGAGAGGAUGAUCAGCCACACUGGGACUGAGACACGGCCCAGACUCCUACGGGAGGCAGCAGUGGGGAAUAUUGGACAAUGGGCGAAAGCCUGAUCCAGCAAUGCCGCGUGAGUGAUGAAGGCCUUAGGGUUGUAAAGCUCUUUUACCCGGGAUGAUAAUGACAGUACCGGGAGAAUAAGCCCCGGCUAACUCCGUGCUAGCCGCCGCGGUAAUUC
rnacentral:rRNA from 1 species